rnacentral:rRNA from 1 species
GACGAACGCUGGCGGCGUGCUUAACACAUGCAAGUCGAACGGAAAGGCCCUGCUUUUGUGGGGUGCUCGAGUGGCGAAGGGGUAAGUAACACGUGAGUACCCUGUCCUUGACUUAGAGAGAACUUAAGGAAACUGGGGCUCAUACCGGAUAGGAGCUACUGCUGCAUGGUGGGGGUUGGAAAGUUUCGGCGGUUGGGGAUGGAAUCGCGGCGUAUCAGCUUGUUGGAGGGGUAGUGGCUUACCAAGGCCUUGAGGGGUAGCAUGGCUGAGAGGGUGACCGGCCACAUUGGGAUUGAGAUGCGGCCCAGACUCGUACGGGAGGCAGCGGUGGGGAAUAGUGCACAAUGGGCGGAAGCCUGAUGUAGCAACGCCGCGUGGGGGAUGACGGGCUUCGGUUUGUAUUCCGCAUUCGCCUGUGACGAGGAGAGAGUGACGGUACUGGGUAAAGAAGCACCGGCUAACUACGUG